UACAGAGGGUGCAAGCGUUGUUCGGAAUUAUUGGGCGUAAAGGGUGCGUAGGCGGUGCGGUAAGUCUGUAGUGAAAUCUAUGGGCUCAACUCAUAGUCUGCAUCGGAAACUGCCGGGCUUGAGUGUGGGAGAGGUGAGUGGAAUUCCUGGUGUAGCGGUGAAAUGCGUAGAUAUCAGGAGGAACACCUGUGGCGAAAGCGGCUCACUGGACCAUAACUGACGCUGAUGCACGAAAGCUAGGGGAGCAAACAGG
rnacentral:rRNA from 1 species